rnacentral:tRNA from 1 species
GGGGGUGUAGCUCAAUCGGUUAGAGCGUCGGCUUGUCACGCCGAAGGUUACGGGUUCGAGUCCCGCCACCCUCGCCA